AUCGCCAUCGUAACCACUGUCUUA
rnacentral:siRNA from 1 species